rnacentral:rRNA from 1 species
GACGAACGCUGGCGGCAUGCCUAAUACAUGCAAGUCGAGCGAACGGAUGAAGUGCUUGCACUUCUGACGUUAGCGGCGAACGGGUGAGUAACACGUAAGGAAUCUACCUAUAAGCGGGGGAUAACAUUCGGAAACGGGUGCUAAUACCGCAUAAUAUCUUCUUCCGCAUGGAAGAAGAUUGAAAGACGGCUCUGCUGUCACUUAUAGAUGACCUUGCGGUGCAUUAGUUAGUUGGUGGGGUAAUGGCCUACCAAGACGAUGAUGCAUAGCCGACCUGAGAGGGUGAUCGGCCACAUUGGGACUGAGACACGGCCCAAACUCCUACGGGAGACAGCAGUAGGGAAUCUUCCGCAAUGGGCGAAAGCCUGACGGAGCAAUGCCGCGUGAGUGAAGAAGGCCUUCGGGUCGUAAAACUCUGUUAUAAGAGAAGAACAAAUUGUAGAGUAACUGCUACAGUCUUGACGGUAUCUUAUCAGAAAGCCACGGCUAACUACGUGCCAGCAGCCGCCGUAA